rnacentral:rRNA from 1 species
GACGCGCUAUUUGCGCUUGCGCUGCAGUCUGCCACGAUCGACUGCGUGAGCUUGUCGGAAUACGUGGUCACGACUGUGCUGAACGCAGCGGAUGCGGCGGCGAACAGCACGCUCAUGAGCAGGCCCUGUUUGCGGUCCGCUUCGUCGUCGUUCGGGCUCGAUGCACUUUUUCGUCACCAGAUUCCACACCGACUGGAACGCCUUGCCCGCCACCAUGCCGAUCAGUGCGGGGAAUGCCAGUUUGAAUGCCUUGUCUCCCAGCGUGUCGGGGUCGCGCAUGCGCUGCUCGCGCAGAUCGGUGAUCUUGUUGUUCACCUUGUCGAUCCGCUGCACCGUCUCUUUCGUGGUGUUGUCCAGAUUCGCGAGUUUCUCGUUCGUGUCGGGUGUGUGCGCCGACUGCACCGGUUUCGCCGUCGCCAUGGACAGAUCGGGCGCUGUCUUCAACUUUCUAGCAUGUGCACCAGUGUAGAGCACGCGCGGGCCGUACGCGCGCGGGAUAUUCGGGCAUGCGCUCGCGUACGGCGGGAAACACGGUAAAGUGAUGCAAGUUUGUUCCCUAGAGAAAAGACGGUGCCGUCGUGGAAUCUGCAGGCAAAUUGGUAUUGCUCCCGCAUGGACAGACGGUGUGGAGCCAGUCCGGCCAAUACACCGGCCGCACGAACAUCCCGCUCACGCCGGUGGGGCGCGAGCAGGCCGCUGCCGCGGGCGAACGGCUGCGCGCCACGUUCCCUAACGGUUUCACGCCGAGCAACAUCUACACGAGCGAUCUGGCGCGUGCCAUGGAAACCGCAGAGCUCGCCGGAUUCGCGGAGCACAACGUGACCGCCGACCUUGAGGAGUGGGAUUACGGCCGCGCCGAAGGCCGCACGCGAGAGCAGCUCAAUGCGGCGGCCGGCUAUGAGUGGAAUGUAUGGCGUGACGGUCCGCACUCACUUGAUGAGACGCUGUCGGGCACGCGCGUGGAGGUGUUCGAAGACGGUUCGAGAUCACCGUGGUCAACGGGGGGCGAGGCCCUGGAGGAUGCCGCCGCACGCACCGCACGGUGAUUGAACAGGUGCUGCCUGCCCUGGCGGGGGAUAAGCUCCGUCGUCGAGGGGGAGACAGCCCUGACCGUCGUCUAAGGUCCCCAAGCGCGUGCUAAGUGGAAAGGAUGUGGAGUCGCAUAGACAGCCAGGAGGUUGGCUCAGAAGCAGCCAUCCUUGAAAGAGUGCGUAACAGCUCACUGGUCUAGUGGUUCCGCGCCGACAAUGUAGCGGGCUCAAGCACGCCACCGAAGACGCGGAUGCGGCCGUAUGGCCGUGUGGUAGGAGAGCGUCCCACACCGGGGCGAAGCGGCGGGGGAACCCGGCCGUGGACUGUGUGGGAGUGAGAAUGCAGACAUGAGUAGCGAGAGCAGGGUGAGGAUCCCUGCCGCUGGAAGACAAGGGUUCCAGGGCCACGUUCGUCGUCCCUGGGUGAGUCGGGUCCUAAGGCGAGGCCGACAGGCGUAGUCGAAUGGAUGAACGGGUCGAUAUUCCCGUACCGGCUUUCGGACCGACCAACAGCCCGUGUGAACAAGGGCCAUCCGAUACGGUUGAUGGGGGCUUCGGCCUCCUGAUUCCGUUGCUGUUUGGCCUGACGCGCAUGGUUGAGCGUUUCAGGAGUGACGCGGACGGGUAGCCGGCCGGGGAGGUGGUUUUCCCUGGUCAAGCGUGUGGCCCCGCCCCCAGGCAAAUCCGGGGCUUCAUGGGGUGAGGCGUGAUGAUGGGCGCUUUCAUGGCGUGAUAUCCGGUGAUCCCGUCGGCCGAGAAAAGCUUCGGCGCGAGGUCCGUUGCCGCCCGUACCCCAAACCGACACAGGUGGUCUGGUAGAGUAUACCGAAGCGAUCGAGCGAAUCCUGGUCAAGGAACUCGGCAAAUUGCUCCCGUGCCUUCGGCAUAAGGGAGACCCCCGGCCGUGCCGGCCCCUUGCGGGUCGUGGGCGGCUGGGGUGGCACAGGCCAGGGGGUAGCGACUGUUUACCAAAAACACAGGUGCAUGCCAAGACGCAAGUCGCCGUAUAUGCACUGACGCCUGCCCGGUGCCGGAAGGUUAAGAGGAUCCAUCAGCGUCCCCUCGCGGGAUGCGAAGUGGUGAAUUCAAGCCCCGGUAAACGGCGGUGGUAACUAUAACCAUCCUAAGGUAGCGAAAUUCCUUGUCGGGUAAGUUCCGACCUGCACGAAUGGCGUAACGACUUCCCCGCUGUCUCGACCAGGAGCUCGGCGAAAUUGCAGUACGAGUAAAGAUGCUCGUUAAGCGCAGAAGGACGAAAAGACCCCGGGACCUUUACUAUACCUUGGUAUUGGCAUCAGGUGCGGAUUGUGUAGCAUAGGCGGGAGGCUUCGAAGCCGCGGCGCCAGCCGUGGUGGAGCCGGCCAGUGAAAUACCGCUCUGUCCCCAUCUGAUGCCUAACCCGGACAAGUCAGCCUUGUCGGGGAGAGUGCCUGGCGGGUAGUUUAACUGGGGCGGUUGCCUCCCAAAGAGUAACGGAGGCGCUCAAAGGUCCGCUCGGCCCGGUUGGCAAUCGGGUGUCGAGUGUAAUCGCACAAGCGGGCUUGACUGCGAGAUCGACGGAUCGAGCAGGGACGAAAGUCGGAGAUAGUGAUCCGGUGCCGGCGUACGGACGCGGCAUCGCUCAACGGAUAAAAGGUACCCCGGGGAUAACAGGCUGAUCAUUCCCAAGAGUCCAUAUCGACGGGAUGGUUUGGCACCUCGAUGUCGGCUCGUCGCAUCCUGGGGCUGGAGCAGGUCCCAAGGGUUCGGCUGUUCGCCGAUUAAAGCGGCACGCGAGCUGGGUUCAGAACGUCGUGAGACAGUUUGGUCUCUAUCCUCUGCGCUCGUUGGAAUCCUGAGGAGGCCUGCCCAUAGUACGAGAGGACCUGGGUGGACGAACCUCUGGUAUGCCAGUUGUCGCGCCAGCGGCACGGCUGGUUGGCCACGUUCGGGAGGGAUAACCGCUGAAAGCAUCUAAGCGGGAAGCCCGCUCCAAGAUAAGGAUUCCUGACACCCCCCGGGGGGUGUGUGAGAACCCCAUAGAGAACAUGUGGUUGAUAGACCGGACGUGGAAGCCCGCCGAGGGGUGGAGCCGACCGGCACUAACGGUCGAAGACAACCAACACCACCAUGACGAAGCCGGAAAACCCCCGGCGGCCAUC